rnacentral:ncRNA from 1 species
GAUGAAUAAUGCGGGUUGUAGUUGAUGAAGGUAUAGCCGCGCGCCUGGUCGAUGGUGUGAAAGAGCGGGUUCCACGAGAACAGCACCAAGAUCUUGUGCGGCAGCGCAUUGGCCACGAACAUCUUGCCCGAAGCGACCAUGUUGGCCCGCGC